GCUAGCAAAAACAGAAACAGUCUGGUCGUCACGUUCGGGUGUUCUCUGAGUUGAACAAAAAUCUGUUAGUUGUCAAUCAACGGAAGUUGGAAGCAUUUUAUUGCGGCUAUGUCCAUGAUAUAUUUGUGAUUUUACACACGUAACUCUCAAGCAAAAGGAUAAUGGAGUGCUUUAGACGAAUAUAUCAAGCAUCAUGAAGGAUGAAGAAAAUACAUAGAAUAGAAUGAACUUGGAUGAUUUUUUUUUCCUGUAAAAUAAAUGAUAAUAUUCAUAUAAAAU